UGGGGCGGGGGGCGCCGGUCCUGACGGCGGGCUCAGUCCUACAGUCCUGAUCCUGGUCACGAUCCCGGUCCUAGUCCCGAUCCUAAUGCCGGUCCUAGUGCUGGUCCCGGGCGUGUUCCCGGGCCCGAUGCUGGUCCCGGUCCCGGCUCCGCGGUGCCGCUGCUCACUCGCCCCCUUCACCCCCGUGCAGCUGAGGGGGGUGGGCGAGGCCCCGCGGGGGCUGGGGUUGGUGCUCCUCUGCCCCCCAAAAACCCUCAAGGGAGGAUGCAGGGCUGGAUACAGGGCGGGUGGUGGGGCUUAGCGACGCUCUGAGGGCGACCUGUGGGGUCAGCGGAGCCCCCGGGAGCUUAAGGGGGGAACAGGGCGGGGUGGGGGACGCUGGCCCUGCUCCCCCCUCGUAAGGGGUGCGGAGCCUGGCCGAGGUUUUGUGUUACCCGAGGAGCCCGAGGUGGUGCUGCACACCUGCCCUGGGCACAGCCGUACCGCAGGGCUCAGCAGGGAGAUCCCGGGCUCGCAGGGCCUGCGAGGGGGUGACAGAGCCCAGGUGGGAGCGCAGCUCUGCCAGGGGCUCUGCUCCACGCAGCGCUUGUGUUUUGUAGGCAGAGGUAAACCAGGCCAGCGGAUGGUGGUGAUGCGCUCACAUCUCGCUUUGUUCUCCCCUGAUCAAAGCCACGCAGAUGGAUUUGUUCUGGUUCAGACAAACCUUUGACAGGAUGUUGGGAUUUCUGAAGGAGCCAGUUGUGGUCACUGCAAAGAUCAAUGUGAGCCUUGUGGCACUGACCGUGAUGGGAUUAAUAAGUCGUCUCUGGGGGCUUUGCUAUCCACGGGCUGUGGUUUUCGAUGAAGUUUAUUAUGGCCAGUUUGUUUCACUCUACAUGAAGAGGAUCUUCUUUGUGGAUGACAGUGGCCCACCCUUUGGCCACAUGCUGCUGGCCUUGGGAGGUUACUUAGGAGGAUUUGAUGGAAACUUCCUAUGGAACAGGAUUGGAGCUGAAUACAGCAUGAACGUUCCUGUGUGGUCCCUGCGACUCCUGCCAGCCCUGGCUGGUGCUCUCUGUGUGCCUUUAGCCUACCAGAUUUUGGUUGAACUGCACUUCUCCCACUGUGCUGCACUUGGAGCUGCUCUUCUGAUUCUCUUAGAAAACUCUCUGAUCACUCAAUCAAGGUUAAUGCUUCUGGAAUCAAUACUGAUUUUUUUUAUCCUGCUUGCAGUUUUGUCCUACCUGAAGUUCUACAAUUUGCAAAAGCACAGUGCCUUCUCUGGAAGCUGGUGGUUUUGGCUCCUGCUGACUGGAGUAGCCUGUUCUUGUGCAGUUGGAGUGAAAUAUAUGGGCCUGUUUACCUAUAUUCUGCUCUUGGCCACUGCAGGACUCCACUUCUGGCACAUGAUAGGAGACCAGAACUUGUCAAAUGUUUCCUUGCUGUGCCAUUUUCUAGCCCGGGGUCUGGCCCUUAUCAUCAUCCCCAUGGGGCUGUACCUGUCCUUCUUCUACGUUCACUUGGCUUUGCUGUAUCGCUCUGGGCCUCAUGACCAGAUCAUGACAAGUGCUUUCCAAGCCAGCUUAGAGGGUGGGCUGGCUCGAAUCACUCAGGGUCAGCCCUUAGAGGUGGCCUACGGCUCUCAGAUCACCCUGCGGAAUGUGCUGGGCAAGCCCAUGCAGUGCUGGCUCCACUCUCACACCAACACUUACCCCAUCAGGUAUGAGAAUGGCCGAGGGAGUUCCCAUCAGCAGCAGGUGACCUGCUAUCCCUUCAAGGAUGUGAACAACUGGUGGAUUGUCAAAGAUCCUGGAAUGCAGCAGCUGGUGGUGAGUAACCCCCCACGGCCUGUCAGGCACGGCCACAUCGUGCAGCUGGUCCACGGCAUCACAACUCGCUACCUCAACACGCAUGACGUUGCUGCUCCUCUUAGCCCCCAUUCCCAAGAAGUUUCCUGCUAUAUUGAUUAUAACAUCUCCAUGCCAGCACAGAACCUCUGGAGAGUGGAAAUUGUAAAUCGUGAGUCUGACACAGACGUGUGGAAGACAAUUCUGUCGGAAGUGAGGUUUGUUCACGUGAACACCUCUGCAGUGCUAAAGCUCAGUGGAGCAUCUCUGCCUGAGUGGGGAUACCGGCAGCUGGAGGUGGUUGGAGAGAAGCUGUCCAAAGGCUACCACCAGAGCAUGGUGUGGAAUGUGGAAGAGCACAGAUAUGGGAAAAGCCAGGAGCAAAAAGAGAGGGAAGUGGAACUCCACUCUCCCACACAGAUGGACAUCAGUAAAAACCUCAGCUUCAUGGCAAAGUUCACAGAAUUGCAGUGGAAAAUACUCACAUUAAAAAAUGAAGACACAGAACAUAAGUACAGCUCCUCUGCCCUGGACUGGAUCACAAUGGACACCAAUAUUGCCUACUGGCUCCACCCCACCUCAGGGGCCCAGAUCCACCUCCUUGGGAAUGUUGCCACCUGGGCUUCAGCUAACGCUGCUGCUCUGGUCUACCUGUGUCUGUCCCUGUGGUACUUGCUACGGCGAAGGAGGAAGAUCUACGACAUCCCUGAAGAUGCCUGGCAGCUCUGGAUGUCAGCAGGAGGCAUUUGUGGUGGAGGCUGGGCUGUGAAUUACAUGCCCUUCUUCCUGAUGGAGAAGACACUUUUCCUGUACCACUACCUGCCUGCUGUCACAUUCCAGAUUCUCCUGAUUCCUGUGGUACUGCAGCAUCUCAGUGAUCAUCUCUGCAGAUCUGUGCUGCUCAAGAGCAUGUUCAGUGCCCUGACUGUAGCCUGGUUCUCCUCGGUGUACUUUGUGUACUGCACCUUCAGCCCCGUGACCUACGGGCAGCCUGCGCUGUCCCUCACGGAACUCAAGGCCCUGCGCUGGAAGGACACCUGGAACAUCCUGAUCCGAAAGCAGUGACCACUCCAGCCUGGGUACAGCAAAGGGAAACACCUCUUGUGCAAAGCCAAGAAUUUAUUCUAAAGAAGGCUUCAGGCAAACCAGGAAUUGAGCCAAAGCCAGAUAAUCCUUUGGUCAUGUGGCACUGAUGUGAAGCCUGAGGCCUGUUACCAGCAGUGGCAGUAUUGCCAUUACACCCCAGAUCCCAUGGGAAAAGAGCUCUGGGCAAGAAAGCCAGACAUUCUUGAGCUGAAGCUGCUGGAGUGCAAGGCAAGUGCUCUGACCCUGUCUGAGGGUGUCCAGG